GAAAAGAAAAGAGAGAGAGGGAGAGAGAGAGGAGAAAGGAGAAAGGAGAAAGGAGAAGAAGUUAGGAUUUGAGAGAGAGGAAGAGACAAACGGCAGUUGGGGAAUCCAAGGCAAGAAACUUCGUAGCAAUACUUCUCUCGUGCUGGAAAAGGAGUUUGGGUGGUGGAAUCAUUUAUUCCGGCAAGAAAAUUCGAGAACGGACAAAGUUUCUUGAAGUUCUUGGACGAAAAUCGGAGUUUAGUUGGACUUCAGGUAAACCGAUCGAAAACAGAAAAUGAGAGAGAAAGAGACCGCCACGCGUUGACUGGCAAACGGAGGAGCGCGGCGGAGUCGGCGUCCAUCACAUGGCAGUGUUCCACUAGUGCGCUAAGUCGGGUCGACCCGUACGCUCGCCGAACCGGUUCGAAAACCUGCAGUCCAACCCGACGUUUCCCGCCAAACACUGUGUGCCACGUGUCGUGCUCAUAAAAUUCGAAGGUAAGUUCACGGUCGUUGGGGUUCGAAACACGGCACUACCCGCGCGUGUGCCCUGCGCGUGUGGGCGUGUGGAGACCUACUGGCGUGUGCACGGCGUGUGGGACACCAUUCUCUCACCCGUCUGGCCUCCGUUUGGUUGUUUUUUUGCCUCAGAUUUCAAAUCUGAUACUAUUUUUAUGUGAAUUAGAACCUAUCAAGAAAAUUUCAGAAUUUUUGGAGCCAUUUUCGGCAAAUAAUUCGAGCUUGGAAAGACACGCGUCUUAA